AAUGACUCUAGUCAAGAGCUAUAUCCUGGGUGUAAGAAUUUCUCAAUACUGCAUUUCAUAAUUAGACUACUUCAUGUCAAAUUUCUUGGUGGAUGGUCAGAUAUAAGUUUUAACCUGUUGCUAGAUCUACUUAAUGAUGCUUUUCCUGAAGGGUCCUCACUAGCCAAGAACUAUAAUGAGGCUAAGAAAUUUUUGAAAUGCCUAGGACUUGGAUAUGUUAGUAUUCAUGCAUGUGAACAUGAUUGCAUCCUCUUCUGGAAAAACCAUGCUAAGGCUGAUGUUUGUCCAAUAUGCAAUACAUCAUGA
rnacentral:rRNA from 1 species